rnacentral:rRNA from 1 species
AUUGAACGCUGGCGGCAGGCCUAACACAUGCAAGUCGAGCGGAGCGGAGGUCGGGUGCGUAAUGCCUAGGACUCUGCCUGGUAGUGGUGGAUAACGUCCGGUACCGGGCGCUAAUACCGCUUACUCUCAGAUGAGCCUAGGUCGGAUUAGCUAGUUGGUGGGGUAAAGGCCUCCCAAGGCGACGAUCCGUAGCUGGGCUUAGAGGAUGAUCAGUCAAACUGGAACUGAGACACGGUCCAGACUCCUACGGGAGGCAGCAGUGGGGAAUAUUGGACAAGUGGCGAAAGCCUGAUCCAGCCAUGCCGCGUGUGUGAAGAAGGUCUUCGGAUUGUAAAGCACUUUAAGUUGGGAGGCGUUACCAACAGAAGAAGCACCGGCUAACUUCGUGCCAGCAGCCGCGGUAAUAC